CCUACGGGUGGCAGCAGUGAGGAAUAUUGGUCAAUGGGCGAGAGCCUGAACCAGCCAAGUCGCGUGAGGGACGACGGUCCUAUGGAUUGUAAACCUCUUUUGUCGGGGGACAAAGGCGCCCACGGGUGGGCGGAUGAGUGUACCCGAAGAAAAAGCAUCGGCUAACUCCGUGCCAGCAGCCGCGGUAAUACGGAGGAUGCAAGCGUUAUCCGGAUUUAUUGGGUUUAAAGGGUGCGUAGGCGGACCGUCAAGUCAGCGGUAAAAAUGCGGUGCUCAAGCCCGUACAGCCGUUGAAACUGGUAGUCUUGAGUGUGCGAGAGGUAUGCGGAAUGCGUGGUGUAGCGGUGAAAUGCAUAGAGAUCACGCAGAACUCCGAUUGCGAAGGCAGCAUACCGGCGCCCUACUGACGCUGAGGCACGAAAGCGUGGGUAUCGAACAGGAUUAGAUACCCUUGUAGUC
rnacentral:rRNA from 1 species